AUACGGAGGGGGCAAGCGUUGUUCGGAAUUACUGGGCGUAAAGAGCACGUAGGCUGUUUAUCUAGUUAGGCGUGAAAGCCCUGGGCUCAACCCAGGAAUUGCGUUUAAUACUGGUAGGCUAGAGAUCGGGAGAGGGUAGCGGAAUUCCAAGUGUAGAGGUGAAAUUCGUAGAUAUUUGGAAGAACACCGGUGGCGAAGGCGGCUACCUGGACCAACACUGACACUGAGGUACGAAAGCGUGGGGAGCAAACAGGAUUAGAAACCCCGGUAGUCC
rnacentral:rRNA from 1 species